GACGAAGGGGGCAAGCGUUGUUCGGAAUUACUGGGCGUAAAGGGCGCGUAGGCGGUUCUUUAAGUCAGGCGUGAAAGCCCUGGGCUCAACCUGGGAGUGGCGCUUGAUACUGGAGGACUAGAGAGUGGGAGAGGUUGGUGGAAUUCCCAGUGUAGAGGUGAAAUUCGUAGAUAUUCGGAAGAACACCAGUGGCGAAGGCGACUCACUGGACAUGUAUUGACGCUGAGGUGCGAAAGCGUGGGGAGCAAACAGG
rnacentral:rRNA from 1 species